UCAUCCCAAUCUCUCUUUCUCCCUAAAAUAUCUGCAAGAACCCACCCUCCCGCUUAGGGAUAUUCCUAGAAAACCCUGGCUCACUCGAAAGCUAGGCUAAAGCUGAAUCUGAUGGUUUCAAGGCUAAAGUUGCUUCAGUUCGUGAUAGACAACUAGCCUAACAUCAUAUAUUUGAUCUUCGAUGCUUCUGGUUAAAAUUAGGGUUAUUAGUUUGUGGAUGUUGAAGUUACUAUUUGUGGUUUGAAGAGACCGGAAAACAGGAGCUAAAGCUCGAUUUGUGGUCGGAUCUCACAUAACCACCCCUAAUCUCAUCAUCGGUGUUACUCAAGUCUUCCGCUACAAGACGCGUCUUCUAAUUGCACACUUUCCGAUCCACGACAACAUAACUAACAAUACCUAAGCGAUUGAGAUUCAUAACGUUCUUGACAAAUAAGGAUAAAGCCUCUACUGAUUUUGAGACUGCAAUAGCCCAAAAUGAUGAUGACAGGAUGAAUUGAAGAGAAUAGCACAACACCGAUCAAACCCGGUAUUGGCCUUACAGUUGUGGCCAAAAUGCUAAAUCAUGAUGUGGGCUUGAGGGCGAUGAAGAGUGGCUGGUAGAAGUCAGUUUUUUGAGUGAUCUUUUGAACCCAAAUUUGGUCAAGUUGAUUGGUUAUUGCAUUGAAGAUGAUCAACGGUUGUUAGUCUACGAGUUCUUGCUUAGAGAGAGCUUGGAGAAUCACUUGUUAAGAAGUAU